rnacentral:rRNA from 1 species
UACAGAGGGUGCAAGCGUUGUUCGGAAUUAUUGGGCGUAAAGGGCGCGUAGGCGGUGCGGUAAGUCUGUAGUGAAAUCUCCGGGCUCAACUCGGAGCCUGCACGAGAAACUGCCGGGCUUGAGUGUGGGAGAGGUGAGUGGAAUUCCUGGUGUAGCGGUGAAAUGCGUAGAUAUCAGGAGGAACACCUGUGGCGAAAGCGGCUCACUGGACCAUAACUGACGCUGAUGCACGAAAGCUAGGGGAGCAAACAGG